UGUACCAGAGGAGUGUCCCCUUCAACAGUACAUAAUUAUCCAUUAACCAGAUAUUCUCCAAAUCAACAAGCCAAGUUGGCCUUUCCAGUACCUUUGCUGAGACACAAGGGAAGACUUUCCAUCACUCUACCUUCUAAAAAUGGAGAUAUGACUGAUUAAUUGAAUAUUUUCCCACCUUCAUGUACAGAUAUUGAAGCCUAAACUUGCAAACAAAGCCCAGAAAUUGUUCAUCCGGACCUUACUAUGCACACUGAAAAUGACAAUGAAGAAAGGAAGUUGAGAACUUAGGUCUCCAGUCUUUCCAAUUCUCCUCCAAAUGUUUUGGAGAAGACAUCUCUUGUCAAGGCGAGGUACGACAGGCCCCAUCAGACAAAGAGGGCUGCAAAAUUUCUACUUUUAAAGGCAUCUGCAGAUACAUUCAUUUGAGGAAUGAAUCCUUCUCACUGGAGACCAUAGACGGGACCUGCAUAUCAAUAAUAAACGUCACUUCAAGACAUCAAAGGAAAAUAUCAAAAUGAGAAUGGAAUAAAUUUAUUAGGACAGUGUUUUGCAAACAACAUCUUUCACAAACAGUCUUGGAAGGAGAGUUCUGAAAUUUUGCCUUUCAUAUUUGACUUUGCUGGUACUCUGACAGAAUCAACUCACAACUGUUUGUGACUUUAUGGACAAUUAAACACUACAAACAGAGCUGAAUGCAUCAUAUGUUCUGCCGUCUGUGUUAAUAUGGGUACAGUGAAGAACAAUUAUAAUAAAUCUAUUCAUCUCUUUUUCAAA